UACGUAGGGGGCUAGCGUUGUCCGGAAUCAUUGGGCGUAAAGCGCGUGUAGGCGGUUCGGUAAGUCCGCUGUGAAAGGCGGGGGCUCAACCCUCGAAUGCCGGUGGAUACUGUCGGACUAGAGUACGGAAGAGGCGAGUGGAAUUCCUGGUGUAGCGGUGAAAUGCGCAGAUAUCAGGAGGAACACCAAUUGCGAAGGCAGCGCGCUGGGACGUUACUGACGCUGAGACGCGAAAGCGUGGGGAGCAAACAGG
rnacentral:rRNA from 1 species